UGGGAUGUCGUCCAACGGUAAGACGCGAGCCUCUGGAGCUCGUUAUUCUGGUUCGAAUCCAGACAUCCCAA
rnacentral:tRNA from 1 species